rnacentral:rRNA from 1 species
GUAGUGAACCUGCGGAAGGAUCAUUCAAUAAACGGCGAACGCUCGCAAGAGCCUAGCUUUAUAUUAUUCCAUAACACCUGUGAACUAUUUGCCUUCUUGUCAUGAGAGGGUACAACCUUACAAACAUAACUGUAAUGAAUGUAAUCUAUUAUAACAAUAAUACAACUUUCAACAACGGAUCUCUUGGCUCUACGCAUCGAUGAAGAACGCAGCGAAAUGCGAUAAGUAAUGUGAAUUGCAGAAUUCAGUGAAUCAUCGAAUCUUUGAACGCACCUUGCGCCCUUUGGUAUUCCGAAGGGCAUGCCUGUUUGAGUGUCAUAUAAACCUCACCUCUACUGUUUUUCAUUAGACAUGUGGAUUGGUGCUUUGGGCGUCUGCCGUUUACUCUGGCUCGCCUUAAAUGUCUAAGUGGAAUGCGUAAUAAGUCUUCGCAACCCUCCACUCUAAUACAAACUCUUUUAUAUUCUGACCUCAAAUCAGGUAGGACUACCCGCUGAACUUAAGCAUAUCAAUAAGCGGAGGA